GAACAACGCCGCGUAAUAAGAAGUUUUCGGAUCGUAAACUUCUGUUGUUAGAGAAGAACAAGGAUGAGAGUAACCGUUCAUCCCUUGACGGUAUCUAACCAGAAAGCCACGGCUAACAACGUGCCAGAGCCGCGGUAACA
rnacentral:rRNA from 1 species